rnacentral:rRNA from 1 species
AUUGAACGCUGGCGGCAUGCUUUACACAUGCAAGUCGAACGGUAACAGGCCGCAAGGUGCUGACAAGUGGCGAACGGGUGAGUAAUGCAUCGGAACGUGCCCAGUCGUGGGGGAUAACGCAGCGAAAGCUGUGCUAAUACCGCAUACGAUCUAUGGAUGAAAGCGGGGGACCGUAAGGCCUCGCGCGAUUGGAGCGGCCGAUGUCAGAUUAGCUAGUUGGUGGGGUAAAGGCCCACCAAGGCGACGAUCUGUAGCUGGUCUGAGAGGACGACCAGCCACACGGGGACUGAGACACGGCCCAGACUCCUACGGGAGGCAGCAGUGGGGAAUUUUGGACAAUGGGCGCAAGCCUGAUCCAGCAAUGCCGCGUGCAGGAAGAAGGCCUUCGGGUUGUAAACUGCUUUUGUACGGAACGAAACGGUCUGGGUUAAUACCCUGGGCUAAUGACGGUACCGUAAGAAUAAGCACCGGCUAACUACGUGCCAGCCGCCGCCGUAA